rnacentral:rRNA from 1 species
CCGGUGCUUAUUCUUCCGGUACCGUCAUCCCCCACGGGUAUUAACCACGAGGUUUUCUUUCCGGACAAAAGUGCUUNACAACCCGAAGGCCUUCUUCACACACGCGGGAUUGNUGGAUCAGGCUUGCGCCCAUUGUCCAAAAUUCCCCACUGCUGCCUCCCGUAGGAGUCUGGGCCGUGUCUCAGUCCCAGUGUGGCUGGUCGUCCUCUCAGACCAGAUACAGAUCGUCGGCUUGGUAGGCCUUUACCCCACCAACUAGCUAAUCUGCCAUCGGCCGCCCCUGUAGCGCGAGGUCCCG